CCUACGGGAGGCAGCAGUGGGGGAUAUUGCACAAUGGGGGGAACCCUGAUGCAGCGACGCCGCGUGGGUGAAGGAGUGCUUCGGCAUGUAAAGCCCUAUCGGCAGGGAAGAAGCAAGACGGUACCUGACUAAGACGCCCCGGCUACAUACGUGCCAGCAGCCACGGUAAUCCGUAGGGGGCGAGCGUUAUCCGGAUCCACUGGGUGUAACGGGCGCGUAGACGGCCAUGCAAGCCAGGGGUGAAAGCCCGGGGCCCAACCCCGGGACUGCCCUUGGAACUGUGCGGCGAGAGUGCGGGAGGGGCAGGCGGAAUUCCUGGUGUAGCGGGGAAAUGCGUAGAUAUCAGGAGGAACACCGGCGGCGAAGGCGGCCUGCUGGACUGCGACUGACGUUGAGGCUCGAAAGCGUGGGGAGCGAACAGGAUUAGAUACCCGGGUAGUC
rnacentral:rRNA from 1 species